AGAGAGCCUUUGGGUCCUGUUUGACUUUUCAUUGUUUGCUCUAAUAUGAGCUUUGGCCUUGGUUUGGGCUUUUUUCUUUGGAUUAGAUUAAUUCUGGACUUUGGAUCAUCUAGGAUCUGACUUCGGAUUGGUCUUGAUUUUGACUUCGGCCUCAGCCUCAAUUUUGGUACUUAUAGGCCUGCUGUUUUUUCCAAAAGGAAAGAAUGAAGUAAAAGGUGAGGGCUUAAGAACCUCUUAUCAAGAAAAUUUUGUGCAAGUCUUUUGAAGCUUACUUCCUCUUUCGAUCUGAUUGCAUGCCCCAUGUUUAUUGGGCACAAUCGGGAGUGUUUGGGGGGAUGUUUUACCGAUCCAUUUGAUUUAUGGCUACGAUCGACUCAUUUGAUGUGCGGUCGCAGUCAAGUUCGGCACUAGUCAUGAAUUCAUGGAUCGUCUUUGUGACGUCUUUUGGAAAGCCUUCCCUAUUCUGGUGAAAAAGAGGGAAGAGCAUUUAUGUCAAACAACUAGCAUGAUGUGUAUGGGUCCCAUCAUGAAAACAUGAGAACAAAAGGGAUAGCAUUGGGAUCGGUUUGAAACCCUCUACACAUCUCUCUCUUUUUCUAUUGGUCUCCGAUAGGCCUUUACUUUUUUUCUCUUUCUUCUCUUCUUUUAAUGUAUAUUUGGAAAAGGGAGA
rnacentral:lncRNA from 1 species